GUUCGGUGUUGCUGUGGACAGAGGACUAGGUCCUAAGUGGAGCGUGGGAAAACAAGGGUCAGAGGACACUACCCAUUCCCAGAGACCCACGGUGGUCCGUCAGCCCCACUGAAGCUCCCAGGCCGGCCCCUAGCGAGAGGAAGAGAUCAGCGAAGGCUGCUUCCAAGUCCUCUAAUUGACAUAUGCGAAGAUCCACACACUCACCAAGCUCCUCCUGGACACACAGCAUAAACAUCAUCAUGUCAACACUUUAUCACAAUGUAAUCAUUUGACAUCCUGAUGAUCCCCAAGACCUUUGGGAAAAUACUCUCUGGUCUGAUGAGACAAAAGGAAGGACCUGGAUGACUUGCUGUGAUAAAUGGAACCAUGAAUUCUGCUGUCUAUCAAAAAAUCCUGAAGGAGAAUGUCCGGCCAUCUGUUCGUGACCUCAAGCUGAAACGAACUGGGGUUCUGCAGCAAACCACAGCAGCAAAGUCCACCUCUGAAUGGCUGAAGAAAAACAAAAUUAACACUUUGGAGUGGCCUAG